GUACCUGAGGCGCUUAAAGAGACAGACGGACCAGCACUGCACAAGUGAAGAUAUCUAACGCUGUGGUCUAUUUUGUCUCACAGUGAUGACAUCUACCGGAAUACGGUGGAGUGCUACACUAGUAGUGAUAUCUGCUGCCCUGAUGGUGUACACAACGUUUUCCUAUCAAGGGUUCAUGAUCAGGGAUCAGGAUGCUCCGAAGCCGAUUUUCAAUCUUCACUUCGGCCCACCCGUCAAUUCUUGCGUCUUCAACGGGCCUGUCCAUUUCGACCAGGCCACGUACCCACAAUACACGCAGGUUGUCGUCCUAAACAGAGACCGCCUGUAUCACCAAGGAGACGUUCUUACCGUGAUGGUGGUGGCAAGAGACAAAAAUCGAAGGAAAAAGACGUACGGGGGAGAUUUUUUCCGUGCCAGACUGGUCAGUAGUGACCGUUCGCCGAAGGCCAGUAGCGCCGGUGACGUCACUGACCACUGUAACGGUAUCUACACCGUGCAGUUUCCGCUGUACUG